rnacentral:rRNA from 1 species
GCACCUCGAUGUCGGCUCGUCGCAUCCUGGGGCUGGAGUAGGUCCCAAGGGUUGGGCUGUUCGCCCAUUAAAGCGGUACGCGAGCUGGGUUUAGAACGUCGUGAGACAGUUCGGUCCCUAUCCGUGGUGGGCGCAGGAGACUUGAGAGGCGUCGUCCCCAGUACGAGAGGACCGGGAUGAACGGACCUCUGGUGUCCCGGUUGUCACGCCAGUGGCAGCGCCGGGUAGCUAUGUUCGGAUGGGAUAAGUGCUGAAAGCAUCUAAGUACGAAGCCCACCUCAAGAUUAGGUCUCCCACUGGGUUAACCAGGUAAGACCCCAGCAAGACCAGCUGGUUGAUAGGCCGCAGGUGGAAGAGGGGCAACCCUUGGAGCUAAGCGGUACUAAUCGGUCGAGGGCUUGACCAUCUAUCACUCA